GAUGAACGCUGGCGGCGUGCCUAAUACAUGCAAGUCGAGCGAACGGACGAGAAGCUUGCUUCUCUGAUGUUAGCGGCGGACGGGUGAGUAACACGUGGAUAACCUACCUAUAAGACUGGGAUAACUUCGGGAAACCGGAGCUAAUACCGGAUAAUAUUUUGAACCGCAUGGUUCAAAAGUGAAAGACGGUCUUGCUGUCACUUAUAGAUGGAUCCGCGCUGCAUUAGCUAGUUGGUAAGGUAACGGCUUACCAAGGCAACGAUGCAUAGCCGACCUGAGAGGGUGAUCGGCCACACUGGAACUGAGACACGGUCCAGACUCCUACGGGAGGCAGCAGUAGGGAAUCUUCCGCAAUGGGCGAAAGCCUGACGGAGCAACGCCGCGUGAGUGAUGAAGGUCUUCGGAUCGUAAAACUCUGUUAUUAGGGAAGAACAUAUGUGUAAGUAACUGUGCACAUCUUGACGGUACCUAAUCAGAAAGCCACGGCUAACUACGUGCCAGCAGCCGCGGUAAUACGUAGGUGGCAAGCGUUAUCCGGAAUUAUUGGGCGUAAAGCGCGCGUAGGCGGUUUUUUAAGUCUGAUGUGAAAGCCCACGGCUCAACCGUGGAGGGUCAUUGGGAACUGGAAAACUUGAGUGCAGAAGAGGAAAGUGGAAUUCCAUGUGUAGCGGUGAAAUGCGCAGAGAUAUGGAGGAACACCAGUGGCGAAGGCGACUUUCUGGUCUGUAACUGACGCUGAUGUGCGAAAGCGUGGGGAUCGAACAGGAUUAGAUACCCUGGUAGUCCACGCCGUAAACGAUGAGUGCUAAGUGUUAGGGGGUUUCCGCCCCUUAGUGCUGCAGCUAACGCAUUAAGCACUCCGCCUGGGGAGUACGACCGCAAGGUUGAAACUCAAAGGAAUUGACGGGGACCCGCACAAGCGGUGGAGCAUGUGGUUUAAUUCGAAGCAACGCGAAGAACCUUACCAAAUCUUGACAUCCUUUGACAACUCUAGAGAUAGAGCCUUCCCCUUCGGGGGACAAAGUGACAGGUGGUGCAUGGUUGUCGUCAGCUCGUGUCGUGAGAUGUUGGGUUAAGUCCCGCAACGAGCGCAACCCUUAAGCUUAGUUGCCAUCAUUAAGUUGGGCACUCUAAGUUGACUGCCGGUGACAAACCGGAGGAAGGUGGGGAUGACGUCAAAUCAUCAUGCCCCUUAUGAUUUGGGCUACACACGUGCUACAAUGGACAAUACAAAGGGCAGCGAAACCGCGAGGUCAAGCAAAUCCCAUAAAGUUGUUCUCAGUUCGGAUUGUAGUCUGCAACUCGACUACAUGAAGCUGGAAUCGCUAGUAAUCGUAGAUCAGCAUGCUACGGUGAAUACGUUCCCGGGUCU
rnacentral:rRNA from 1 species